GAUGAACGCUGGCGGCGUGCCUAAUACAUGCAAGUCGAGCGAACAGACGAGGAGCUUGCUCCUCUGACGUUAGCGGCGGACGGGUGAGUAACACGUGGAUAACCUACCUAUAAGACGGGGAUAACUUCGGGAAACCGGAGCUAAUACCGGAUAAUAUAUUGAACCGCAUGGUGCAAUGGUGAAAGACGGUUUUGCUGUCACUUAUAGAUGGAUCCGCGCCGCAUUAGCUAGUUGGUAAGGUAACGGCUUACCAAGGCAACGAUGCGUAGCCGACCUGAGAGGGGGAUCGCCCACACUGGAACUGAGACGCCGUCCAGACUCCUACGGGAGGCCGCAGUAGGCAAUCUUCCGCAAUGGGCGAAAGCCUGACGGAGCAACGCCGCGUGAGUGAUGAAGGUCUUCGGAUCGUAAAACUCUGUUAUUAGGGAAGAACAAAUGUGUCAGUAACUAUGCACGUCUUGACGGUACCUAAUCAGAAAGCCACGGCUAACUACGUG
rnacentral:rRNA from 1 species